rnacentral:rRNA from 1 species
GGAAGUGUUGGGUGGGUGGGGCCUAAUACAUGCAGUUCGAACGAAGCACCUCGGUGCUUAGUGGCGAACGGGUGAGUAACACGUGGGUAACCUGCCCUCAAGACGAGGAUAACCGUUGGAAACGAUGGCUAAGACUGGAUAGGAGCGCGGAAGGCAUCUUCUGCGCUUUCAAUUACCUGGCAAGAGGUAUGCUUUGAGGAGGGGCCUGCGGCGCAUUAGUUAGUGGGCGGGGUGAGGGCC